UACGUAGGGUCCGAGCGUUGUCCGGAAUUAUUGGGCGUAAAGAGCUCGUAGGCGGUUUGUCGCGUCUGCUGUGAAAUCCCGAGGCUCAACCUCGGGCCUGCAGUGGGUACGGGCAGACUGGAGUGCGGUAGGGGAGAAUGGAAUUCCUGGUGUAGCGGUGGAAUGCGCAGAUAUCAGGAGGAACACCGAUGGCGAAGGCAGUUCUCUGGGCAUGUACUGACGCUGAGGAGCGAAAGCGUGGGGAGCGAACAGG
rnacentral:rRNA from 1 species